rfam:Serratia fonticola strain DSM 4576, complete genome.
CAUGAGCCGUAAACCGUUUUUCUUCGCAUUCUUUUUUACCUUCCCCUGAUUGGGAGGCGUUUCGUCGUGUGAGAAAGAAUGCGAAGACGAACAACCAAGCCUCCUCAAGCAGGGGGCUUUUUUUAU